UACGAAGGGGGCUAGCGUUGUUCGGAAUUACUGGGCGUAAAGGGUGCGUAGGCGGGUCUUUAAGUCAGGGGGGAAAUCCUGGAGCUCAACUCCAGAACUGCCUUUGAUACUGAGGAUCUUGAGUUCGGGAGAGGUGAGUGGAACUGCGAGUGUAGAGGUGAAAUUCGUAGAUAUUCGGAAGAACACCAGUGGCGAAGGCGACUUACUGGACACAUAUUGACGCUGAGGUGCGAAAGCGUGGGGAGCAAACAGG
rnacentral:rRNA from 1 species